GCACUGAUAGUUCAGUGGGUAGAACAGGGGACUCUUAAUCUCAGGCUUGUGGGUUUGAGCCUCAUGCUGGGCA